rnacentral:lncRNA from 1 species
CGGGGGUGGUCCUGAGACGCUUGGCCCCGCGACUGUGAGCCAAGUCGUGUGGAGAUCAGAGAAGGGAGGAAUGAGCUGGAGGCCUGGGUCCCCUCCCCAUCAAAGGGGCUGUGCCUUGGGGUACCCAUCUAUUUUUGGUUGGGGCGAUGUUCGCCUCCAGGUUCCCCGUGUGUCCACAUCUGUGACUAGGUGGGUAUCUGGUCACACCCUUGCUCUGUAUGCACACUGCCAACAAUAUGGAUGCCCAGGUACCAGAGAGGUCAUGCAGUGUGUCCCCCUGCAUCCAGACUAAAAAUACAUUUAUCCCUUCAUUCUUGCUUCCAUUUGGAUGUUUUUAAAGCCCUCCUGAGGAGUGACCAGUGUGCCUGUAUGCAUUAAUAUCCCCCCCCCUUUUAAAAUCUGCUUUGUAUGUAUACAUGGUGUUUCUAGGCCACCAGAGGUGUGUGUGUACAGAGACUGUGCAUAUAAUACACAGGCCGUUUCUUGUGAGGCCUUUCUUCCUAGACUUCACACGGAGAGGAAGGAGGGGACAUUGUGGGGGGCCGGCAGAGAGCCCAAGUGCCGGCCGCACGUGGGUGCACCCUGGCACUGAGCAUGCUCCCUCAUACACGUGUGCCUCUUGUGGCCCUAGCCCCCAUCCCUGCAGCAGCAAAAGGCCAGUGCUUUCUGCUUGUGGGGAGAAGGCAGAGGUGCCCAAGACGAGGCCUGGGGGCCAGCUCAGUGGUGACACAACUAAGGAAGAGCUUCCCCCGCCCCCUCCCCGCCCCCGAGCCAAGGGACUCCUGCUCGAUAACAGGGCAGGGGUUGGGGGGAGUCUUUGGGCAUGGUUCCCGAGUGGGUCGAUUUAUCCCAGCGGUGCCAGAGCAGCAGUGACUUGUAGGUGGGCAGACUCCUUCCCUAGGGAAGACAAGUAAUGCUUAUGAGUCACACCACCCGAAAUACAUGCAAAGCUGCC